GAUGAACGCUAGCGGCAGGCUUAAUACAUGCAAGUCGAGGGGCAGCAUGAUUGUAGCAAUACAAUUGAUGGCGACCGGCAAACGGGUGCGGAACACGUACACAACCUUCCAACAAGUGGGGGAUAGCCCAGAGAAAUUUGGAUUAAUACCCCGUAACAUAGCGAUGUGGCAUCACAUUGCUAUUAUAGAUUUUUCGCUUGUUGAUGGGUGUGCGGCUGAUUAGAUAGUUGGCGGGGUAACGGCCCACCAAGUCUACGAUCAGUAGCUGAUGUGAGAGCAUGAUCAGCCACACGGGCACUGAGACACGGGCCCGACUCCUACGGGAGGCAGCAGUAAGGAAUAUUGGACAAUGGACGCAAGUCUGAUCCAGCCAUGCAGCGUGAAGGAUUAAGGUCCUCUGGAUUGUAAACUUCUUUUAUAAGGGACGAAAAAAGGCUUUUCUAAGUCGUCUGACGGUACCUUAUGAAUAAGCACCGGCUAACUCCGUGCCAGCCGCCGCAGUAAUAC
rnacentral:rRNA from 1 species